ACUUGCUCUCAGUUGGUCUGGGGCUGGCCACAUGGAGCCCGGGCUGGAGCACGCACUGCGCAGGACCCCUUCCUGGAGCAGCCUUGGGGGUUCUGAGCAUCAAGAGAUGAGCUUCCUAGAGCAAGAAAACAGCAGCUCAUGGCCAUCACCAGCUGUGACCAGCAGCUCAGAAAGAAUCCGUGGGAAACGGAGGGCCAAAGCCUUGAGAUGGACAAGGCAGAAGUCGGUGGAGGAAGGGGAGCCACCAGGUCCCCGGUCCAGGCCAGCUGCUGAGUCCACCGGGCUGGAGGCCACAUUCCCCAAGACCACACCCUUGGCUCAAGCUGAUCCU
rnacentral:lncRNA from 1 species